GCCACCUUAGCUCAGCGGUAGAGCAGCCCCUUCGUAACGGGCAGGUCAGCGGUUCAAUUCCGCUAGGUGGCUC
rnacentral:tRNA from 1 species